UGGGGGAUAUUGCACAAUGGGCGAAAGCCUGAUGCAGCGACGCCGCGUGGGGGAUGAAGGCCUUCGGGUUGUAAACUUCUUUUGCUCUGAACAAGGCAUGCUAAUGGGUGUGUUGAGUGUAGGGGUUGAUUAGCGCCGGCUAACUACGUGCCAGCAGCCGCGAUAAUACGUAGGGCGCGAGCGUUGUCCGGAAUUAUUGGGCGUAAAGGGCUUGUAGGUGGCUGGUUGCGUCUGUCGUGAAAGCUCAUGGCUUAACUGUGGGUUUGCGGUGGGUACGGGCUGGCUUGAGUGCAGUAGGGGAGGCUGGAACUCCUGGUGUAGCGGUGGAAUGCGCAGAUAUCAGGAGGAAUACCGGUGGCGAAGGCGGGUCUCUGGGCUGUUACUGACACUGAGGAGCGAAAGCAUGGGGAGCGAACAGG
rnacentral:rRNA from 1 species